UGCCAGCCGCCGCGGUAAUACGGAGGGUGCAAGCGUUAUCCGGAAUCACUGGGUUUAAAGGGUGCGUAGGCGGCCUAAUAAGUCAGAGGUGAAAGGCUACAGCUUAACUGUAGGACUGCCUUUGAUACUGUUAGGCUUGAAUUAGGUUGAGGUAGGCGGAAUGUGGCAUGUAGCGGUGAAAUGCAUAGAUAUGCCAUAGAACACCAAUUGCGAAGGCAGCUUACUAGACCUAUAUUGACGCUGAGGCACGAAAGCGUGGGGAGCGAACAGGAUUAGAUA
rnacentral:rRNA from 1 species